GCUAAAGCAGCGGGCCGGGCGGAAGGUCGGGGAGCCAGAGCCCAGGGAAGAGCAGAAGGCGCGGGGGGGCGGGGGGGGCACCCAGGAGGGAGGACGGGGCAGCGGUGAGGGUGUAGACGGGAGGGAAUCUGUCCGGUGCCGCAGUGAGUUGGGUGGCGGUGAUUUGUUCGCGGGCGCAGGCUGGGAGGCGGGGUUCCUGACUCACUGCGGCACUGGCAGGGCUGGUGACAGCACCACCCCCGCGCCGCCUGCAAUCUGCCACCGCUGCCACCGAGCCGAGGGGCGCCAGCAAGGCAUCCCCUGGGUCAAGGGGCCUCCCGUGGGCUUUCCAAACAGCCUGUGCUCAUUUCCGCGGGAGCCCUCGGGGCGCUGUGCUGUGGCUGCAUUGUCACUGUUUGUUUAUUUCUACAUCUGCUCUGUUAGAAGAUAGGCUCGCUUAGGACAGAGCCUUCUAAUCCACCCCCUGAUGAAUUCGGGCCCUCGCCUUUGGCACAAUGCCUGGCGUCAUCACAACGCGGGUGAUCAGUAAACGGCAGCGAAGGAAGCGGGGUCAGGACUGGAGAGGAGAGGGGGAGGAAGACAGACGACCGGAGAGGAACAAAAAUGGAAGAACAAGUAAGAAUGGACAGAGGAAUACCAUGUGCUGACUGACGAACGCCUGGGUUUCUGAACCAAUUGCCAUCAAGGGGAUUGGGAUUACCAUAAUUUUUGCUGAGACUAAGCCCCACCCCAGUAACCAAAGGCAGUGUUUCAAGAACCCAGCUCCAUUCAUCCUAUGAUGCCACCAUCCUCAGCAUUUGACUUCCAUGGCUCCUGUAAGAGAAGAGAACAUGAAGAACAAAACAGGAGGUUUUUAUGGGAGGCAUGUCAAUUUGACCAGAUACUUUGCCCAGAACCUUGUCACAUGGCCUCUGCCUAAAUGACAAUGAGGCUAGUGGCUGGGUGUGGUGGCUCAUGCUUGUAAUCUCAGCACUUUGGGAGGCUGAGCCAGGAGGGUCUCUUGAGCCUAGGAAUUCAAGAUCAGCCUGGGCAACAUAGGGAGACUUCGUCGCUACAAAAAAAAAUAAAUUAAAAAUUAGCUGGGCAUAGUGGCACAUGCCUGUAGUCUCAGCUAGUUGGGAGGCUGAAGUGGGAAGAUCACUUGAGCUGGGAGGUUGAGGCUGCAGUGAGCCGAGAUCACGCCACUGCACUCUAGCCUGAAUGACAAAGUGAGACCCUAUCUCAAAGAAAAAACAAAAAAUGAGUCUGGGUAACGUAGCCUGUGAGACCAGAAAGAAGCAUCAGGAUUGGCGAGUAUUAAUACCAUCUCUACCAUAAACAUUUUUGGAAAUAUUUCUUUUUUUUUUUUAGAGAAAGGGUCUUGCUGUGUUGCCCAGGCUGGUCUCAAACUCCUAGCCUCAAGCAAUCUUCCCAACAUAGCCUCCAAAAGUGCUGGGAUUACAGGCAUGAGCCAACAAGCCUGGCCCUAGAAAUAUUUCUUUCUCUAAAUUCAAAGUAACUAGGGGGAAUAUUAAUCUCAUUCUAAAUAUUUUAUUUUGUCACUCCCUAUCCUUUGUUUUCAAACACCUCACACUACUAUUAUGUGUUAUCACGAGUCAACUGUUUACAUGUCUAUCUCCAGCUGUUGGUUGGGAGCUCACUGAAAAAGGAAACCUUUGUAAUUCAUUUUUGUAUCCUGAGGGCUUAGCACAGAGGCUGGCACCUGUUAGACCUAAGAAGGAUUGGCAACUCUGGACAAAUCAGAGAAGGAGCGUUGUCAACCCUUUUCUCCUGGUGAUGAUGAUGGUGAUGGUCAAUGUCCACUCCCAAAUAUCUAUAUUGGGAAGAGGUGGUUUGUAGGGUGAGCAUUUGUCUUUUGAGUGUAUACUUGAGGGAGGGAUGAAAUUAUGUUUGUUUUAUACUCUAGAAAAAUUGGCUAAAACAGCAAAUGUAAUUUUACAGAAUGAUGGAGAGGGCAUACUGAGGUGGGAGGCAAAUAAUAGAAGGAGAUGUAAAACUGUCAACCUUGAUCCCCACAGUGAUGGGGGAUGAUGACAGCAGGAGUAAGUUAUGGGAUGAUUGUAUGUUUGUGAACCUCAGUUCUUCUGCAGCAUGAGCUGGCAGGAUCCUCUCCUUGACCACCUCAGGUGACCUGCUGGAGCCCACUGGUCUCACCAGGAGAGGUCAUCGGGCCACCAGACCAACUGAAGUAAUAGUUCUUCUUGAGGACAGUCUCUAGCUCCCCCUCUAUCCCAUCCCACAGUCCAAAAAUGCUACCCAGCAUGGCCUAACCCAGAGUCUACCCCCAAAUAAGUGAUUCUGCAAGUUGCUAGAAUUCAAAGAUGCUCACACCCCAGAAUUAGAAAACAUCACUGUGGCAGUUUCAGGUUCUCAGCAAGCAGACCAAGAAUGCACAUGUGAGCUUCCUUUAUUUCAAGUUAAGGAUGCAUUUUCGGUUUUUAAAGUUCAACAAUAAUAAAAUCAGUUGAAAGCCCAACUUCUAGAGCAGUGCUAUUCAAUAUACUAGCACUGGCCUGUGUGGCUAUACAAAUUUAAACUAAUCAAAACUCAACAAAAUUUAAAAUGCAGUUCCUCAGUGGCAGUAGCCACAUGUUAAGAACUAAAUGGCCACAUGUGGCUAGUAGUCACCUUAUUGGACAAGGCAGCUGUAGUACAUUUCUGUCAUCACAGAAAGUUAUGUUGGAUAGCAUUCCUCUAGAAGCUGCUUCCGUGAAGCUGUGUGCCAGCUUUCUAAGUCAAGUUCUGUCGAUCCUAUUUGGUAGAAAAUAUGAUAAAUGUUUUAGAAAAUCACAAGAGGACUUUUAUUUGGCUGAAAUUUAAACAUAUGCAUGCAAUUUCUUAAAAUAUAUUUUACAUAUUUGAAGGUUCAGUUCACCUUGGAAAGCCAAAUUUCACAUCUACAAUAUGAACAAAAUUUCAACUUCCUGGAGCUCAGUGAUAAUUAUGGAUUAUAGGUUAAAAAUAAAGUUAAUAACUCCUAACAAGAGCAUGAGCAAUGUAAGACUUUUUCCAGGUAACAUUAGAAGCAAGAAAUAACUAAAAAAGGACAUUGCUUAUUUUUAAGGGUAUUAUCUCCAAGUACAUAUCAUUUUAAAGAAUAAAAUUUUGUGUUAUCUUUUUCAAAGCACAGAUAUUUCUUGUACAUGUUAACCUUCUAAGCUGCACAAUAAGAUAUGACAUCGUUUCUUUCCAAGAAAAGAAGUUAGUUCACCUAAGAGAAAAAUGAAUCAGCCUGGAUCCUAUUUUAUUAUUGGUCCAGGAGAAGCAAGGACCCUACCUGACUUCAGGGAGACCAUCUGGGCUAGUUAUUAGAGCUGUUUAUAAAACCCUGGCUCUCCUUCUCUAGGGGUGUGGGAGGGCUCACUUCCCCACUCCCUAAAGUAAAAAAAGGCCACAUGACUUGGCUUAAACAUGAGUAAGAGUAAUGAAUGUCUCUUCCAGAAGAAGCAUUUAAGUAACUGUGCUUGAUUCAUUCCCCCUUUCUCUCUACAUUGACAGUCAUGGAAUCCCAAGUUGGAAUCUCCAUCAGCAGAUAACCACUAGUGAGGACGAUUAAGAAAGGCUCUUUUAAUCUACAUUGGACACAUAGCAAGAGGAAAAAUAAACUUUUCUUAUAUUAAGCCAUUAUGAGCAUGAGGAUGUUUGUUACUGCAGUAUAACAUGGCCUUUGCUGACCAAUACCUCAUCCAAAUCUAGGUCACAUGGCACCAAAUGGCAACACGGUUCUGAGUCUUUUGUUUCUAUGAAUACAAAGUGAAAAAGCUAUAUGUGUACAAAUCAAGAAUCAGAUAAAGGUGAAGAAUCAAACUUGACGAAAGCAAUCCUAGGGGCUGGGCAUGCUGUCUCACGCCUGUAAUCCCAGCACUUUGGGAGGCCAAGGUGGGUGGAUCACAUGAGGUCAGGAGUUCAACACCAGCCUGGCCAACAUGGUGAAACCCAAUCUCUACUAAAAAUACAAAAAUUAGCCAGCCAUGGUGGUGGGUGCCUGUAAUCCCAGCUACUUGGGAGGCUGAGGCAGAAGAAUCGCUUGAACCUGGGAAGCGGAGGUUGCAGUGAGCCAAGAUCGCACCACUGCACUCCAACCUGGGUGAUAGAGCAAGACUCCCUCUCAAAGAAAAAAAAAAAAAAAAGCAAUCCUAGGUCUGAUUUCCUACAGACACUAAACAUAGAAAGAAGAAAUGGCUCAUUCAUGUGAGCACAAACAGUAAAGAGGUUUAUUUAAACUCUGCUGUGAGCUUGGGCCUCCUUUCCUGCCUGGUUGAAUUUAAAAAUACCAUAUAGACUGUGUGUACCUAAGAUGCUUUUCCUACAAGAGCCUUAAAAUUUUCAUUUCUCUCUUUCUAGAUAUGCUGCCAAGAGAAUUUUUUUCUUUAAGAACAAAUAAACUAAAGAAAUUAACAUCCAGCUUGCUGAGUCACUUGCUUUCCACUUGAAUUUUAACUACAAGGAUCUGAAGACAGCCUGUGUUAGGCAGAGAAAGAAAGAGACAGAGAAAGAGUCAGGGAGAAGAGAGGAAGAGAGAUGUAGCUGGAGAGUCAGGGAGAAAUUCAAAGAGAUGGAGAGAGAGACUGGUUCUGGAAAGAAAAGAUAAGUUAAAUAGAAAAAGGAAAGUAAUCUUUGAAAGGUUUGUUUAAGACAUGUAUUUUCUUACUCUGUAGUGGGAGCGCUGAAUAAAAAUAUUUAAAUAAAAGCUGUAAUGUGAUUAAGGUUUGAGUUGGGGUUUAAUCGUGGAAAGAGCAAGGUAUUUAGAGUGAAAGAUCUAACUUUUGUAUUUAUUUUUCAUUUUUUAGUGUUUUCGCUUUUUUAAUCCCAGGUCCUCUACCAUUGACUAUCUGAUGUUAACAAAAUCAGUUCGCUUUUGUGUCUUGGUUUCCUCAUCUAUGAAAAGGGAAUAGAAAAACUUACCACAUAAGUUGGUAGGGAAGACACAAUUCUAUAAAA
rnacentral:lncRNA from 1 species